AGUGAACGCUGGCGGUAGGCCUAACACAUGCAAGUCGAACGGCAGCACAGUAAGAGCUUGCUCUUACGGGUGGCGAGUGGCGGACGGGUGAGGAAUACAUCGGAAUCUACUUUUUCGUGGGGGAUAACGUAGGGAAACUUACGCUAAUACCGCAUACGACCUACGGGUGAAAGCAGGGGAUCUUCGGACCUUGCGCGAUUGAAUGAGCCGAUGUCGGAUUAGCUAGUUGGCGGGGUAAAGGCCCACCAAGGCGACGAUCCGUAGCUGGUCUGAGAGGAUGAUCAGCCACACUGGAACUGAGACACGGUCCAGACUCCUACGGGAGGCAGCAGUGGGGAAUGUUAGACAAUGGGCGCAAGCCUGAUCCAGCCAUACCGCGUGGGUGAAGAAGGCCUUCGGGUUGUAAAGCCCUUUUGUUGGGAAAGAAAAGCAGCAGGUUAAUACCCCGCUGUUCUGACGGUACCCAAAGAAUAAGCACCGGCUAACUUCGUG
rnacentral:rRNA from 1 species